UCUAACGGGAAAUGAAUCUCGUACGCAUUUCAGUAUACAGUUAUUUCAGUCCCGUACGUCACGAGACUUCGCGAGAUUAAUGGAGACUGGAAGCGUCGGACUGAAAGCUAUCGUGACUGCUAAUGAAUCAUCCACACAAUUCCACACGUUCAACAACUUUAAUGAGUUGAUAUGUAUACAGUUCAUACAGAUACAGUUUUUUGGGCCAUCACUGAAUUGACAGUAUUAUGUGAUAUAAGUAGUGUUCAGACACCAGCUUUCCUUAUUGAGCAAGAUGAGACAUAUAAAAAUAUCGAACAUUAUAUUAUCUACCAAUGCGAUCCUUUCUCUAUUAAAGAGAGCAUAUCAAUAUAUAA